CCAGAUCUUCACCUGCGAAUACAAAACCACGACUCAUUAUCUGUUUGCGAUGGAAUCCAAUUGCAGAGUUUUUCUCUCAGCGUUUGCGGUUGAUUCAACGCAAAUCGGUGAUCUAACAAUUAUGAUAAUAAUCACACAUUUUACUUGUACGGAAUUUUUGGAGGGGCGUAUCUUUACAUAAACAAGUAAUAAAAAAGGAUGUAGUAGAUCAUUCAGCCCAAGCAGCGUGUGUAAUCAAGGAAGAGAGGAAAGUCGUUACUUUCCUGCGUGAAGGACUCACACGCUUAACAGGACUGCCGGAACGGGCCAACGUCAAACGCACACCCCCGAAAGUCUCGCCCACCCUCGUUUCCGCCUGGGCUCGCCUCGCCUCGCCGUAGCAGCCCCAUUAGCCACUUUAUUAUACGCGUUCUACCUUGAGCGAAUCGUUGACCCCGGGGCGCGGAUUGAUCCACCUAAACAACUUUCUGAAUUUUCAUUCGCCAUCACCGCCGCCGCCACCGCCGCGGUGUGCACUUGACACCAUCGACGGACUCACCACCUUUGGGGUGAGUCCGUGCUCACUCACACGAAUAAAAUACUUCGCGCUGCCCCUGAUUGAUGCCGCGGGACGUGACGUUCGAUAAUUCGCAGACAUUCGCCGAGCGUCGUUCAGAAAACGCGAUAGCCAAGUGGCUUCCGCUUCGAAAGCUCGCGAUCGCUCUCGGGCGAUUGUAAAUCCCGCUCGUUUCGAUUGCGCUUUCUCUAUCCUUGUGAUACGAUGAAUGCAACUGAAGUGAACUUACCCUUAUCGCUGUGGAAUACCUAUACGUUCUUCUACUUGAUUUGCGUCACUUCUAAUCUCUAAAGUUGCAGAGAAAAAGCAGACGCGGAUAUAAUAUUAUGAAAAAAAUAUAUUAUAGAGUAAAUAUGCGCAAUCUCUCUUUUCUGCAAUCGCACAUUGGAAAUUUAUCAUUAUUUGUAUAUUUGUCGUUAUUUGAAUAUAUCAUUGUAGAAGUUUAGAACACAAUAUUUUUAAUUAGAAUUAAGUUCUUCGAGGAGCUAUGAAUACAAUGUCCCAUUCUCGAAUAAUAAAAACAGUAACAGCUAAUUUAAGAACGAUUAAGCGAGCGAGAGGGUGCAGCAUGUUACCGAAUUUAAUCGAAGCACAAUUCAACGGCAACGCUAUCUUGUGAUUUUAAAUAAUUUUUCGAAGUGUUUCAUAUGCACCGAUAGAUGGGCUGGGAUGACGCGGACAAAAUUUUCGACACUUUCGCAAUGUAUAUCUUAUUCGGCGGACGCACGCACGUAUUCGCCGGACGUGCGUGCGUUUGACACCGCGCGCCAUCAUUAAUACGGCUCUCGACCUAGAGAGAUUGAAAUUUAAUGUAAUUUAUUAUUUUUUAAUAUCCUAUGAAACGUUUUACGCGGAUAUUUUCGAUGCACGGCCCCGACCGGUCACUCUCGACGGAGGGAGGACGGGCGGGCAGGCGUGUGCGCUUGACAUCGCGCGAGUUAAACGGGUUUUGACGCGUUAAUGUGUUUUUCCGCUUUAUAGCGAGAUCACCGGGGACCGUUGCAUCGAGAAAGAAUCACGAUCAUGAGCGCUCGUCGAGUAGAAUUGUUUACACGAACGCUAUUUAAUGCACGAACAAUCCUAAUCGUGUACUUAAUCGCGUCAAAUUAUUUAUAAAACGGCAUUUAUAGUUAUGGCCGUUUAGGAUGGCAUAAUUUAUUCGUUAUAUUCGUUAUUAAUUGCGUAUAUGUGUAAAUCGAAUGUCCAACCGUGACAUCGUAAUGUCAGAUAUGAAGAGGUACUGGGAAUAUAAAAUUAUAUUAUAAAAGAAAUAUAAUUAUUGUACAAUAAUGCCCACGAUCAUUUUCGAGCUUUUAAUAUACGAGAGCAGAAUUAAUAGUCUCAGCGCGAUAGUGAGUAGUUAAAACUUCUAUGUGAAUCGAGAUAUCUGUUUCUUACAGAUCGAGCGCGUCACAUUCAUUCUCAUUAAGUGCCAGAGCGUGCAAUAAAGCUAUUAACGCAAACACGUUCGAUCCGCAAUACGUUCCCGGCAUCAUUAUAGACCUCAACGCGACACUAAUAAUUCUAUCAAUUACAUGAUUCGUUUUAUCGGUGUAACGCGCUGACUCACCGCUCGUCCAAUUGCGUGUCAAUAAUAUUUGUAGCAUUUAUACCUAAUGCUCGUAAUAUUGCAGAAUACGCGUUUAACCAGAAGUCAAUCACAGUUCACACGCACGUAGAGCUAAAAUCAAUUCAUGGCGAAUUACAGUGAAUUUGAUUGUACUUGCUGAUAGAAAUCUGAAUAUCGGUGGAAUUUUGUAACAAGUAUUAAAUUUUACUAGUGCGGUAAUCUGGAUCUCAAAAUAAGUACGUGGAAGAUAUAAAAACAAUUUAUAUUGAACGACUGAUUAUUCCAUCAGAGCUACGGAUUUGUAAUUUAAAAUAUGAAAAAUACUUAAAAAAUAUUAAAAACAGGAAGAUUAAAUUAAAUUAGAGAUUAAUUAAUUAUAAUUAUAAUUAAGUAUAAUAAAAUUAAAAUUAAAAAUAAAAGCGUGUGUGUGUUCCUCAUAUCCUCGUGUUAUUUAAUUUAUAUAACUUUUCUUUAAUUUUUCAAAUCUUAUUAAGAAAAUAUCAGCUCGAGAGAGUUAAUGCGACAAUUAAAUUGUAAUUGAUGAAAAAAUUGAAUAUCAAUUCGCAAACUUUGUUUAAUAAUCAUAAUAAUGCUCUCUAAACAAAUGACAUAAACUGGCGACUUGUUAUACAGAAAAUACAAAUCUAUGCAAAAA